rnacentral:rRNA from 1 species
AACCUGGUUGAUCCUGCCAGUAGUCAUAUGCUUGUCUCAAAGACUAAGCCAUGCAUGUGCAAGUAUAAACGCUUGAACCGUGAGACUGCGAAUGGCUCAUUAAAUCAGUUAUAGUUUAUUUGAUGGUGUACCCGCUACGUGGAUAACCGUGGUAAUUCUAGAGCUAAUACAUGCAAAAGGUCCCGACUCUCACGGGGAGGGACGUAUUUAUUAGAUCCAAAACCAGCCCGGUCGCGGCUCCGGUCCGGCCGGUGUUUCCUGGUGAUUCAUGGUAACUGCUCGAAUCGCACGGCCCCGGCGCCGGCGAUGGUUCAUUCAAGUUUCUGCCCUAUCAACUUUCGAUGGUAGCGUAUUGGUCUACCAUGGUCUUUACGGGUGACGGAGAAUUAGGGUUCGAUUCCGGAGAGGGAGCCUGAGAAACGGCUACCACAUCCAAGGAAGGCAGCAGGCGCGCAAAUUACCCAACCCCGACUCGGGGGAGGUAGUGACGAUAAAUAACAAUGCCGGUCCCAUCGAGGUCCGGCAAUUGGAAUGAGUACAAUCCAAACCCCUUAACGAGGAACAAUUGGAGGGCAAGUCUGGUGCCAGCAGCCGCGGUAAUUCCAGCUCCAAUAGCGUAUACUAUAUCUGCUGUCGUUAGCACGCUCGUAGUUGGAUUUCGGGGCCCGUUCGUCGUUCGGUGAGGGGUGGCGUCUCUGGCGUGGCUCUUUGCCGUCGGCGUCGCUCGGCCGGUUCGGUCCGCCGAGAGGCGAGCACUGUCCGGCGGCUCCCAGUGUCUCUCGGAGGCCCCGUCUGCUCUUUGUUGUUGCGGUCGGGGAGUUCGGGACGUUUACUUUGAACAAAUUAGAGUGUUCCAAGCAGGCCGGUCGCUUUGAUUACGUUAGCAUGGAAUAAUGGAAUAGGGCUGCUCCUCGUCCUAUUUUGUUGGUUUUCGGGACGGCAGUCAUGGUCGAUAGGAACAGUUGGGGGCAUUCGUAUCCAGUUGUCAGAGGUGAAAUUCUCGGAUUUGCGGAAGACGAACUACUGCGAAAGCAUUUGCCAGGGAUGUUUUCAUUAAUCAAGAACGAAAGUUGGGGGUUCGAAGACGAUCAGAUACCGUCGUAGUCCCAACCGUAAACUAUGCCGGCCAGGGAUCGGCGGACGUCGGUGGCGACUCCGUCGGCACCUCGCGAGAAAUCAGAGCCUUUGGGUUCCGGGGGGAGUAUGGUCGCAAGGCUGAAACUUAAAGGAAUUGACGGAAGGGCACCACCAGGAGUGGAGCCUGCGGCUUAAUUUGACUCAACACGGGGAACCUCACCAGGUCCGGACAUGGGAAGGAUUGACAGAUCGAGAGCUCUUUCUUGACUCUAUGGGUGGUGGUGCAUGGCCGUUCUUAGUUGGUGGAGUGAUUUGUCUGGUUGAUUCCGUUAACGAACGAGACCUUAACCUGCUAACUAGUCGUGCCGUUUCCGAACGGCGGGUCGGUUUGGGGUCGGUCAGUCGAGCACUCGGCCGGUCCUCCCUCGUCCGUCUCCGGUCCGCAAGGUCCAGGCGACUUCUUAGAGGGACACUCGGCGUUUCAGCCGGGGGAGGACUGAGGCAAUAACAGGUCUGUGAUGCCCUUAGAUGUUCUGGGCCGCACGCGCGCUACACUGACGGAGGCAGCGAGCGUGUCCUUCGCCGGCAGGUGCGGGCAAUCUUGCGAGUCUCCGUCGUGCUGGGGGUAGAUGGUUGCAAUUGUCGAUCUUGAACGAGGAAUUCCUAGUAAGCGCGAGUCAUCAGCUCGCGCUGAUUACGUCCCUGCCCUUUGUACACACCGCCCGUCGCUACCACCGAGUGGCCGUGUCCAAGAAGGCGUCGGACUCCCGCCCUGUGCGGAGGGCAACCUCUGCCGGGGUGAGGGGGAAGUCGUCUGACUGUUCCCGGCGGGAGGAGGUAAAAGUCGUAACAAGGUUUCUAUAGGUGAACCUGCAGAAGGAUCA